UCUUUCACUGCAAGGCGGCGGCGGGAGCGGUUGUGGUGCUAGUUUUUCUAAGCCAUCCAGUGCCAUCCUCGUCGCUGCAGCGACACACGCGCUCGCCGCCGCCAUGACUGAGCAGAUGACCCUUCGUGGCACCCUCAAGGGCCACAACGGCUGGGUAACCCAGAUCGCUACUACUCCGCAGUUCCCGGACAUGAUCCUCUCCGCCUCUCGAGAUAAGACCAUCAUCAUGUGGAAACUGACCAGGGAUGAGACCAACUAUGGAAUUCCACAGCGUGCUCUGCGGGGUCACUCCCACUUUGUUAGUGAUGUGGUUAUCUCCUCAGAUGGCCAGUUUGCCCUCUCAGGAUCCUGGGAUGGAACCCUGCGCCUCUGGGAUCUCACAACGGGCACCACCACGAGGCGAUUUGUGGGCCAUACCAAGGAUGUGCUGAGUGUGGCCUUCUCCUCUGACAACCGGCAGAUUGUCUCUGGAUCUCGAGAUAAAACCAUCAAGCUAUGGAAUACCCUGGGUGUGUGCAAAUACACUGUCCAGGUAAAGUGAGGCCAUGGCCAAAGAGCACAUCUCCAAGGAUCUCUCCCACCCUCUUAACCUUUGCC
rnacentral:sRNA from 1 species